rnacentral:ncRNA from 1 species
GAAAUGUAUGGAGUAAAGUUUGCUGUGAGAAGUCAGCAGAAGCCAUAGUAGUUCAGCAAUCGAUAACACUGAACGAAGGGC